UUGUGCACACCCACACUACACGGGCAUGUGCUAGUCAAUGACAAAUCAGAAAUAACUAACUGCCCACCUGGGCUGUCCUAAGCCAAGCUUGAGUCACCAUUGGCUCUUGUGAGGCACAGGAAGUGAGGUAGGGAACAGCCUCUGGAAUUUGCGCACUUCCUGUGGAGAGAGCUAGAGGGCAGUUGGUGUUAGAAGCUUGAACAGAGAGGAUGUCCGCAGACAGCUUCCCUUCAGAUCGCUCACCUGGUGUUUGUGAGUCCUGAAGAAACUGGUGCAUCUACCAGCAGCCUAGGUCCUGGGGCUGGGCCUGAGGCCAGAGUUGCUGGGGCUGGGACCAGGUGAGCGAUCUGAAUCCAGAAGGUCCAGAGCAGAUGACUGCAGGCAGGAGUGCAUAACAGGGAAACAUCUGACCCAAGAGCUUUCCUCUACUAGGAUGUCUCCUAUGUAUCUACUAAGAUAGUAUAGCAUCAAUGAGGGAGUCAAAAAACAAGAACACAGGCUUCUGUUUUGGAAGAUAUUUUGAAGCCAAAUGGAACAUGACUUUUCUACAGAUGUGAAGAUGGUUCUCCUAGAAUUUGACAUCCAUCUGAUGCUCCCUCUUGGGAAGCCAUCCUCUGUGACACAGGAUUUGACAAAA
rnacentral:lncRNA from 1 species